rnacentral:rRNA from 1 species
CAGAGGUGGCAAGCGUUGUUCGGAAUUACUGGGCGUAAAGGGCGCGUAGGCGGCCAUCUAAGUCAGACGUGAAAUCCCCCGGCUUAACCUGGGAACUGCGUCUUAUACUGGAAGGCUUGAGUAUGGGAGAGGGAUGUAGAAUUCCAGGUGUAGCGGUGAAAUGCGUAGAUAUCUGGAGGAAUACCGGUGGCGAAGGCGGCAUCCUGGACCAUUACUGACGCUGAGGCGCGAAAGCUAGGGGGAGCAAACGGGAUU